rnacentral:rRNA from 1 species
GUGCCAGCAGCCGCGGUACUACCGGCAGCCCGAGUGAUGGCCGAUCUUAUUGGGCCUAAAGCGUCCGUAGCUGGCUGCGCAAGUCCGUCGGGAAAUCCAGUAGCUCAACUACUGGGCGUCCGGCGGAAACUACAAGGCUUGGGACCGGAAGGCUCGAGGGGUACGUUCGGGGUAGGAGUGAAAUCCCAUAAUCCCGCACGGACCACCGAUGGCGAAAGCACUUCGAGAAAACGGAUCCGACAGUGAGGGACGAAAGCCAGGGUCUCCAACCGGAUUAGAUACCCGAGUAGCC